AUGAGCCACGAGUAUCUCUGUACAGCAGCUGAGCAGCUCCCAGGAAAGGCUCUCACAUCUCAUCACAGCCACAUCCUUAUGGCCUCUCUGUCACACUCAGGAUCACAUAGGAGCAGCAUGGAUCCGUACGAAGCACCGCAGGCAUGUUCUGCUUUCCUCUCCUUCCCUGACACCUUUUCCUGUUUCUCUGUUCCACUCCCUGUAGCACAGCAGGGACUGGGCACACGGGGACCUGCAGCAGCACUCAGUGCUCGGGGGGAUCUGCAGUGCAGCAAGGAAUUGUCAGUGCUGGAGAGUGCUGAGGAAGCUGUGGGCAGCUGUGGAGCAGGUAAAUCUAUUAAAAUAUCAAUACAGCCCAUUGCUGUGCAGCUCGCAGCGAGGAUUUCUCCCACUGGCACAACAGCACUCUUCCUUUCACAGGUGAGUUACACAACCACAAUCACUCCCCCAUCCUCAGUCCUGUCCCAAAGGGGGGACACCUGCAUUUUGCAGCCCGACCCCCGCACUGAUGAGUCCCAACGCAGAGCUGCUGUAAAGGCUUCAGGCAGAGCACGGAGGGGACGAGGCUCCGUGUGCCGCAGUACGCGGAGCUCCGUGCCACGUCUCCCGGCAGGGGACGAGGUUGCUCCCAGCUGCGACACGGAACCCGGCGUGUCCCCAAGCAAGAUCCGCCACCGCCACCUAUCGGCGGGCACACGGGGACAGGGGGAGGCAGCCCCUUCGUCCCUCCGCACUGGGAUCUCCAGCAGCGUCCUCCGCAGAGGUCCUGCUCUGCCCACAGCCCCAGCACAGCGCUGCAGCCCCCGGCCCCGCGGGCACUGGGGGUGGCGGUGCCCAUCGCGCCUGCAGCGCUGCCAGCCCCGGGGUCGCCAGAGGGAGCUGUGUCCCCGUGGGACGUGUGCCCGAUGUUGGCCCUGGUCCUACUCCCUCCCCUUCGUGAUGCAGCUCGUUGCCAAGGUCCAGCAUGCACCCGAAUGCUCUGGGGGUAGCAGAGGCCGCUUUGGGUUUUUACAUUUCUCCUGGAACCCGUUGUGCCCUGUCGGGAGGCUUUAA
rnacentral:lncRNA from 1 species